GAAUUGACGGGGGCCCGCACAAGCGGUGGAGCAUGUGGUUUAAUUCGAUGCAACGCGAAGAACCUUACCUGGUCUUGACAUCCACGGAAGUUUUCAGAGAUGAGAAUGUGCCUUCGGGAACCGUGAGACAGGUGCUGCAUGGCUGUCGUCAGCUCGUGUUGUGAAAUGUUGGGUUAAGUCCCGCAACGAGCGCAACCCUUAUCCUUUGUUGCCAGCGGUCCGGCCGGGAACUCAAAGGAGACUGCCAGUGAUAAACUGGAGGAAGGUGGGGAUGACGUCAAGUCAUCAUGGCCCUUACGACCAGGGCUACACACGUGCUACAAUGGCGCAUACAAAGAGAAGCGACCUCGCGAGAGCAAGCGGACCUCAUAAAGUGCGUCGUAGUCCGGAUUGGAGUCUGCAACUCGACUCCAUGAAGUCGGAAUCGCUAGUAAUCGUGGAUCAGAAUGCCACGGUGAAUACGUUCCCGGGCCUUGUACACACCGCCCGUCACACCAUGGGAGUGGGUUGCAAAAGAAGUAGGUAGC
rnacentral:rRNA from 2 species